CAAUGAAGGAAGCAUAAUAAUGUGCAUAUAAAUUGAAUUGGAUUUAUAGGCCUGCCCUUUCUGAUGUCAUUUGGUUUUGAUUUAGAGGCAUGGUUCCUCAACAAAAAA